GGUUAAGUUAAUAAGGGCGCACGGUGGAUGCCUUGGCACUAAGAGCCGAUGAAGGACGGGACUAACUCCGAUAUGCUUUGGGGAGCUGUAAGUAAGCUUUGAUCCAAAGAUUUCCGAAUGGGGGAACCCAGCAUUUUUUAUAGAAUGUUACUGCUAGCUGAAUACAUAGGCUAGUAGAGGU
rnacentral:rRNA from 1 species